AUUGAACGCUGGCGGCAGGCUUAACACAUGCAAGUCGAGCGGAGAUGAGGUGCUUGCACCUUAUCUUAGCGGCGGACGGGUGAGUAAUGCUUAGGAAUCUGCCUAUUAGUGGGGGACAACAUUCCGAAAGGAAUGCUAAUACCGCAUACGCCCUACGGGGGCAAGCAGGGGAUCUUCGGACCUUGCGCUAAUAGAUGAGCCUAAGUCGGAUUAGCUAGUUGGUGGGGUAAAGGCCUACCAAGGCGACGAUCUGUAGCGGGUCUGAGAGGAUGAUCCGCCACACUGGGACUGAGACACGGCCCAGACUCCUACGGGAGGCAGCAGUGGGGAAUAUUGGACAAUGGGCGGAAGCCUGAUCCAGCCAUGCCGCGUGUGUGAAGAAGGCCUUUUGGUCGUAAAGCACUUUAAGCGAGGAGGAGGCUACCUGGAUUAAUACUCUAGGAUAGUGGACGUUACUCGCAGAAUAAGCACCGGCUAACUCUGUGCCAGCCGCCGCCGUAAUAC
rnacentral:rRNA from 1 species